rnacentral:misc_RNA from 1 species
GGCAGUAGAGGUAGUACUACUUUUAGAAUUUCUACUAUCCCAUUCUCCGGCUUUUUAUCCGUACCCUCCGUGCUGCCUGAAUCUUGUUGGCAGAGUGGUGCAUUUUCAAGUUCGAUCUCAACAACUUUUGACUUGUUGGUAUCUGGUACCGCAAUCUCACCACAGGUCAAUCUUGAGGUAGCCGCUCUAAUAGCUUUAACUAUAUGACCUCCCAAGGACUUGAUAUGAAUAAUUUCACCAUCCGUGUUAUGUGUAUAAAACCUGUUGCCAAAUCUGAAGACUACAAUCGACACUAUCAUGGCAAUCGAGGGAAUGGCGAAACCUAAUCCCCAUCCUAACGUGUCCUGUAUGUACGACAUAAUGGACACUCCAAGUAGACUGCCACAACAUAUGCCAAAAUACCACCAGUGGAAAAAUGUGCUCUUUUUCUUGGAGCUCUGGUCAUUCUUCGUACAGGGCAAUUCUUCUUCGUCAUCCAAUUGGUCCGCUGCAAAAGCUUGUAAGGACGGGUUGUAACCUGCUUGGCCUAGUGAAAUUAAAUGCAGAGACCAUGAUAACGAUGAAGAGAAGCCCGACUUGUCCAAGGAUGUCCAUGGCCAUUGUAAUGCCAAUGAUGUCAAAGCUAAAAGACCGGCAAAAUAUAGAGAAGAAGAAGCCAAUACAGUGGUGUAGCGGUCCAAAUAAGAAUCAGCUAGUGGAGCAACCAGCAAUGGCAACAUAGAAGUAAUACCACACCAAUUGUUAACCAUCUUUGCUGCAGCUGAAUUGCUCAUUUUGGCCACGUCUGUUAG